UGAACCCUGCAUCUCUCAGUUUGGGACUGAUUUUUUUAAACCUGGGCAUGUCUGAUUUCCUGAGUUGGCACUUGCUGCACCUGCUGGUAAUGAUGCACCUGUUCCUCAUCAGCCAUCCCUACUUCUUAAGGAGAGACCAGACUUCCGUUCCCUGCUGGAUUGUUAAGUCGUGUACCGAAGAUCACCUGCUCUGCCUGCCUGCCUGCCAGUUCCAAGUACCUCAAAGCCGAGAUCCAAACUUUCCAGCCACACCAGCCAGCCCUCACGCUCCACUACUUGGAAAGAGACUCCCUGCCACCUCACCUUGCCUAGUUUGCUCACCCUGCCUCAGUCAAUAAACUGUUUAACUGCU